rnacentral:ncRNA from 1 species
AUAAUGAUACUUCCGUAAUUCGCGGCCCGGUCAGAAUGUAGGCGGGUGGCUGAAAUGCCAAUGA